GACGAACGCUGGCGGCGUGCUUAACACAUGCAAGUCAAGGGGGGCCGCAAGGUCAACCGGCGAACGGGUGCGUAACACGUGAGCAACCUGCCUAAGUGUGGGGGAUAGCCGGCCCAACGGCCGGGUAAUACCGCAUACGAUCACUAGUCGGCAUCGACAUGUGAUGAAAACUUUCGAGGCACUUAGAGGGGCUCGCGGCCUAUCAGCUUGUUGGUGGGGUAAUGGCCACCAAGGCAACGACGGGUAGCUGGUCUGAGAGGAUGGCCAGCCACAUUGGGACUGAGAUACGGCCCAGACUCCUACGGGAGGCAGCAGUGGGGAAUAUUGCGCAAUGGGCGAAGGCCUGACGCAGCGACGCC
rnacentral:rRNA from 1 species